CAAAUAUAUUAGAUGCUGUGGCGGAACCAACCUCGCCACUAUGCACUGGAGAAGCCUGGUUGCCAGCCUCCUGCCAUGUGACUAUGGCCCCUGGGAUGUAUUGCCCUUUAAAGACAUGAUUUGGGCAUAAUGGAUUUGUGUUGUGCUGCUGAAGGCCCUUUUAAGAACCAUCUGGGGACAUACUGUGGAGUUACUGGGUGGCCACCAUUUCCUGUAUCAUUAGCAGAUGGUGAGAACAAUGGAUGGCGGCCAUUUUAACUCACAGACACUGUGUGGACUUUUCAACACGGUGCCAUCUCGCCAGUAUUUGUUGCACAGAGACAUCGUGCGGUGGUUUUGGACUAUACAGCAGGGGACACAUUAUACAGUGUUUGUUUUUUAUUUAGCCUGUAUAUGUUCUGCAUAAUCUGCAUUAAACUGUAUUUUCCAAAGUACUGAACGGAUCUGGGUGAAUUUUGGAUAUGUGGUUCACCCGGAUCCCCCAGUUCCAAGGAUAUACUUUAUGGGGUUAUUGCAUGUUUUGGGGUCCCUGUGAUGUGUUUUAUGAAGCUUGUAAAUUUCUAAAUGUGUCACUUUUGACAAUGUGUCACUUUUGAGAAAGUAUGCCAGCCCAGGAGAGGAAAAUUGCACCGAUGAUGGCAUAGUAUUUUUAAAAGCAGGCAGCCCAGGGUAUUCCAAAUGGCAUAGUUUGAGUUGUUUGGUCUAGCCACUUUAACAGACAUGCAGUGCCCAUGUAGCGAUUUAUACUUUUAUUUGUGUUUUUUUACACACAUUCCAUUUUCACAGGAAAUUUCAUAAUUGUGAUAUUAGUAAGUGCAAUAAAAAAAAAAAU